rnacentral:rRNA from 1 species
WWWWGUAGAGAUAGAGAGGAAAGAGAGCCCCUCCUCGACGGGCGAAAGGGAAGCCGGUGCAGAUUCCGGCACCCGGUCGCGGGCGCGGCCCGAAAGAGGCCCUCUCCGGAGGACCUACGGGGCGACCCAAGGAGACUCGGCGACGUCGCCGCGGCCGCCGGGAAGAGUUGUCUUUUCUGCCUGAGCCUCGAACUCCCUGAAAGGCCGUCGCCGCGCGCAAGGGACGACGUGGCGAAGAGCGCCCCGCAUGGCCGUUGGCGCCGGGGCGUCCGGCGGGCCGCGGCGGCCCGUGAAAAGCCGAGCGAGGGCGACGAGGAGCGUCGCGCCGGUCCGUACCGAAUUUCCGCAGCAGGUCUCCGAGGUGCGCAGCCUCUGGUCGAUGGAGCAAUGUAG